UACAGAGGUCCCAAGCGUUGUUCGGAUUCAUUGGGCGUAAAGGGUGCGUAGGCGGCGCGGUAAGUCGGGUGUGAAAUCUCGGGGCUUAACUCCGAAACUGCAUUCGAUACUGCCGUGCUUGAGGACUGGAGAGGAGACUGGAAUUUACGGUGUAGCGGUGAAAUGCGCAGAUAUCGGGAGGAACACCAAUGGCGAAGGCAGCUCGCUGGGACGGUACUGACGCUGAGGCGCGAAAGCGUGGGGAGCAAACAGG
rnacentral:rRNA from 1 species